rnacentral:rRNA from 1 species
GAUCCAGACUUUGAUUAUGGCUCAGGAUGAACGCUAGCUACAGGCUUAACACAUGCAAGUCGAGGGGAAACGAUAUUGGAAGCUUGCUUCCGAUAGGCGUCGACCGGCGCACGGGUGAGUAACGCGUAUCCAACCUGCCCAUCACUUGGGGAUAACCUUGCGAAAGUAAGACUAAUACCCAAUGAUAUCUCUAGAAGACAUCUGAAAGGGAUUAAAGAUUUAUCGGUGAUGGAUGGGGAUGCGUCUGAUUAGCUUGUUGGCGGGGUAACGGCCCACCAAGGCUACGAUCAGUAGGGGUUCUGAGAGGAAGGUCCCCCACAUUGGAACUGAGACACGGUCCAAACUCCUACGGGAGGCAGCAGUGAGGAAUAUUGGUCAAUGGGCGAGAGCCUGAACCAGCCAAGUAGCGUGCAGGAUGACGGCCCUAUGGGUUGUAAACUGCUUUUAUAAGGGAAUAAAGUGAGCCUCGUGAGGCUUUUUGCAUGUACCUUAUGAAUAAGGACCGGCUAAUUCCGUGCCAGCAGCCGCGGUAAUACGGAAGGUCCGGGCGUUAUCCGGAUUUAUUGGGUUUAAAGGGAGCGUAGGCCGGAGAUUAAGCGUGUUGUGAAAUGUAGAUGCUCAACAUCUGCACUGCAGCGCGAACUGGUUUCCUUGAGUACGCACAAAGUGGGCGGAAUUCGUGGUGUAGCGGUGAAAUGCUUAGAUAUCACGAAGAACUCCGAUUGCGAAGGCAGCUCACUGGAGCGCAACUGACGCUGAAGCUCGAAAGUGCGGGUAUCGAACAGGAUUAGAUACCCUGGUAGUCCGCACGGUAAACGAUGGAUGCCCGCUGUUGGUCUGA